GCCAGGGUAGCCCAGCCCGGUCUAAGGCGGUCGGCUUGAGACCGACUGUGCGAGAGCACGCGCAGGUUCGAAUCCUGCCCCUGGCG
rnacentral:tRNA from 1 species